UGGUGGAGUGAUUUGUCUGGUUAAUUCCGAUAACGAACGAGACUCCGCCCUGCUAAAUAGUCGCCUCGUUGCUUUUCUCUGCGAGGCGGUUUCUUCUUAGAGGGACUGGCGGCAUCUAGCCGCACGAGAUGGAGCAAUAACA
rnacentral:rRNA from 1 species